rnacentral:lncRNA from 1 species
GAUAGGAACUGGGAUCUCUCCAGGAGAGAGAUGGUCAAACUCUUAUUUACUCACCCAUUCUGACUCUGGAGAAAGAAGCCAUUCUUAUCUGGAAAAGGAAGCCAGCUUUUUUUUUUUUGCAGAAGGAAUGUGUUCUUUUCUAUAACUCUUCUGGCUGAUUUAGAAAAGGCACUGAGGAAAUCCAGUGCUCAGCCAGAGGCUGAGUUGAAGCUGGAGAGUUGAGGCCGUUCUCUAGAUUGUUUCAGAUUUGGAAAAUCUCUUGCCUGAAACAGCCGGGCAAGGAAAGGAAAGGGGCAUUUUUGGUCCAGGUAUGACGCAUUUCUUUUGAACAUACCUGGUUGAAAAUGAGAUAGUAAACACCCACCUGGACUGGGUGGGGCUUCUGUGGCACCUUCACUGAGAAACCAUUACCUCGAGGGAUGAUUUGGAAAGAAAACAUCACUGUUUCCCGGAAGGCCUGUGCUGGCUUGUCACGACCAGUUGUGGAUAGUCACUCCCGACAAAAACCCGCCUGUGUUCUAAAGCCUCGGCCUUCCUACAGCAAUAAUGCCAGCGAGCUCAAAGUUUGCCUUGAGAGUAAGAUGUUUAUCAGAUUGUAUAACUGCCUAUGAAUGACCUCACUCAGACCCUCAGGAAUGCCAAUGGCCCUGUUUAUAAUCCAGGUGGAGGAGAAGCUGAAGCCCCCAAUCUGGGGAGCAGACCCCGGAGCACCUGAAGAGGAAAUCCUGCCUGUCCCGUUCCCGUGGAGGGGGGCGGAUGACCCAGAAAUAAAGACCUCUUCCAUGGGGUUGUUU